CCUACGGGAGGCAGCAGUGAGGAAUAUUGGUCAAUGGCCGUAAGCCUGAACCAGCCAAGUCGCGUGAAGGAAGAAGGAUCUAUGGUUUGUAAACUUCUUUUAUAGGGGAAUAAAGGUAUCCACGUGUGGAUAUUUGCAUGUACCCUAUGAAUAAGCAUCGGCUAACUCCGUGCCAGCAGCCGCGGUAAUACGGAGGAUGCGAGCGUUAUCCGGAUUUAUUGGGUUUAAAGGGUGCGUAGGGUGUUUUUUAAGUCAGCGGUGAAAGUUUGUGGCUCAACCAUAAAAUUGCCGUUGAAACUGGAAGACUUGAGUGUGUUUGAGGUAGGCAGAAUGCGUGGUGUAGCGGUGAAAUGCAUAGAUAUCACGAAGAACUCCGAUUGCGAAGGCAGCUUACUAAGCCAUAACUGACACUGAAGCACGAAAGCGUGGGGAUCAAACAGGAUUAGAUACCCCUGUAGUC
rnacentral:rRNA from 1 species